CACUUAGGGGAGAGCAGGUAGGAUUCGUACAGUAGGAGCAUUCGUACAGUCCUUAUUCCUACCACUGUAGAAUACUUUGACAGGUCUGUGUUUGUGUGCGUGAGACCCACUCGCACGCAUAGGUUACUCGCGGGGUGAGACGUCAGUGCAGCCGCCGGCUUCGACGCAACGAGUCGUAACGUGAUUUCGCGCCAAUUCAACCCAAGAUGCUCAAACGAACCCACAAGCUUCAACUUCUUCACAACCACAAGCGUUACAAUCCACGCAAGAUAAGCAAUCAAGUUCUGUAGCCGUUCAAGAUUACGAUGUGCCAGAGACCAUACCAGCAGACCCCAUACAGACAGAGUUUAUUCAACAAAACCUUCCAAGUUGUUCAUCAUCUGUGUCUCCAUCUUUGCUAUCACCUACAACAGUAACAGAUUGCUCACCAGCUGUGGGGUUGAUCACCCCAGAGUUAGUCAGGCCAUAUCCUAGAGUGGACAGAGAUUCAAUAAAGAAAACAAGGAAAGGAAAGCUACCAGGCAAAUCUAGAAUUUACACUGAUACUCCGGAAAAGAUAGACUGGCAGAAAUAGAAAAGGAAGACUAUUGAAGAAGCAAGUGCAAGAGAAAAAACAAAAAGCUAAGGCCAUCAAAGCUCUACAUCUUGUCUUAGAUGCAGAUAACGCAUCUUCAAUAAAGAGGAAAUCUCAAUCGAAAGAGUCAUUUAAUUUAAAGAAGCAAAAGAAAACUACAAAGACUGAUAAUGAAGCAAAUGCAUAUUAUAUGAUACCUAUGAAUACCUAAAUAAUAUAUCUUGGUUCUUAAUACAAAAAUGCUGAUUCUGUGUUAAAUUGAUCUCAAUAAAUGAUUAAAUUUAAUCAACAA